AUCUAGCUGACGAGUCCUGAAUAGGACGAAACGCGUGUCCUGCAN
rnacentral:hammerhead_ribozyme from 1 species